CAGACCCCAGAAGCAUCACAGCGCUAGAAACUGAAAGAGAAGCUGGCAGCCCCACCACUGGAAAACCCUGUCGCCUGGCAACCACAGCGCUGGCCGUGUGGAUGCCUUCUGCACCAUCAGUGGACAACCAGCAGCAGUGACAGGCGGCAGGGGGACGGAGCGUACAAAGCCGCGGGAGGCUGCAAAGCAGAGCGAGACGGCAGCAAAAGCAGCAAGAGAUGGAACCUGCGGAACUGCUGCAGCGAGAUCCCAGUACCAAGCGCAUGGCUGCGACCACAUGGCCACACCGCAGGACAAUGGGGGAGGAACCAAGCAUUCCUACCUAGGUAUAAUCUGACGUUUGGAACACCACAAGCAGCCUUAUCCACAGGAUUCCCAGAGGAGAAGAGCUCCAUAACCACCACUGAACCUUCAGAGGAAGAUCAGACCCUUCUACAGUAUCACUGCUUCAACAGAACUACAUCUAUCACUUCAACAGGACUGCUAUUACCACCCUGACCAAUAGGGUGUCAGGUUGUAUCCUGACUGUCAGUUUAAGCCAGUGUUCUUUGUCUUUAUUUUAAUUUUCCUAAUAAAUUGCAGUUCUGA